GCUGGGCGCAGUGGCACAUGCCUGUAGUCCCAGCCACUUGGGAGGCUGAUGCUGGAGGAUCGCUUGAGCCCAGGAGUUCUGGGCUGUAGUGCACUAUGCUGAUCAGGUGUCUACACUACGUGCAGCAUCAAUAUGGUGACCUCCCGGGAGCGGGAGACCACCAGGUUGCCUAAGGAGGGGUGAACCCACCCAGGUCAGAAAUGGAGCAGGUGAAAACUGCCAUGCUGAUCAGUAGUGGGAUCUCGCCUGUGAAUAGCUACUUCACUCUAGCCUGGGUAACAUAGUGAGACCCCGUCUCU
ensembl:misc_RNA Metazoa_SRP Metazoan signal recognition particle RNA